UGGGGAAUAUCGCACAAUGGAGGGAACUCUGAUGCAGCGACGCCGCGUGAGUGAUGAAGGAAUUCGUUUCGUAAAACUCUGUUCUAUGGGAAGAAAAGGACUGUACCAUAGGAGAAAGCUCCGGCUAAAUACGUGCCAGCAGCCGCGGUAAUACGUAUGGAGCGAGCGUUGUCCGGAAUUAUUGGGCGUAAAGGGUGCGCAGGCGGCUUUACAAGUUGGAUGUGAAAUAUUGUGGCUCAACCACAAACGUGCAUCCAAAACUGCAAAGCUUGAGUUAAGGAGAGGUAAGUGGAAUUCCUGGUGUAGCGGUGGAAUGCGUAGAUAUCAGGAGGAAUACCGGUGGCGAAGGCGACUUACUGGACUUAAACUGACGCUCAGGCACGAAAGCGUGGGGAGCAAACAGG
rnacentral:rRNA from 1 species